CAGCUCAACUUGAGCUUCAGAUAAACACGAAGUAAUUUUUCAGUGUGAGUAUGUCCCAUGCCAUAUUUGGGACAUAUUUAUACUAAAAAAAUGAUUCAUUGUUUAAAUU
rnacentral:miRNA from 1 species